UUUCCUACUAGCACUGUGGCUAAGUCCGUAAGAAAACCCUAAAUCCCAGCUUUCACUUUCGUUCGUUCUCUCAUACGUUCCGCCUUCGAUCUCUCACAGGAACGCCCCGCCGAACCAAAGAUGCCUUUCAAGAGGUACGGCGAGGACUACAGCAAGCUCGUCGUCAUCGUUGACGUCAUUGACCAGAACAGAGCCUGUGUUGCAGCUGCUUUACCGCUUAUAUGCAUCAGUGAUGGCCAUAGAGAGCACAUCAAAACUAGAUGAUGAGCAGUGGCUUGCUUAUUAGAUUAUUUACUCUUUCCUCACUCUCUCGGAGACGGUUAUCCAACCCACUUUAGAAUGGUAUAGAGGAGGCAAAGACCAUCAUGAUUUAUCCAGCAAGUCCCCAAGUGGCAAAGGCAAGAACAGAGCUCAAGUAAUUAGAAAUUGACCUCAUAAAGCUUGGAAUUUUGAAGUAUUAGAGUUGAAAUUGCUGAGACAGUUUCUUUAUAAUGCAGAUGUUUACUCAGAAGGGACUAAUUAUUGGACGCUUUCCGCGCAGACGUCCCAUUUUGGAAAAGCUUAGUAAUUCUGCUCGUCAUAGCUUUUAUGCAUUUCAAGGAAGCCAGUUGGGAUAUCAUGGUGUGAGUUGAUGCUGAAGAGAAGUUUGUCAGACCUUAUAAUGAUGUUAGAUUGCAUAACCAGCAUAAAUCGUCUAGGCAUACAGUUGUACAAUGUGGACUAGUUGAAACUGGAACCCUGAUGAAGCCUUACCAUGUGUCUCUAUUGAGACUUUUCUGUUUUCACCCUUCUUGUUAGCCUUAUAAAUCUAACUGACUUAUUCGUUGUUAGUUUUUGAAUUGCAAAAGUAAAUGCGGUCUCAAAGUUAGGGGGCUGUGCUUUUAUGCCAUUACUGCCUUUAAUGCCAUUUAUCUUUUUGCACUGAUGGUAGUAGCCCAUCCUUUUGUUCCGUUGUUGGAUGGAUAAAGAAGACGAGCUCAUAUAUUCACUGCCAAAAUUUGGGCCACGUUUGCUGUUACUCCAUUUUUUUUGAUUUUGUUUAUUCAAUUGUGAUUUCACUUCUGAGAAUUGAUAUUGGCAAUUUCUUUAUUUACCAUAUUCAUGGCACACUUGGAUUAUAUGAAUUGAUAAGUAUUUCAGGUUUAAAGUGUAGAUAUGCAUUUUAGUUGGACUUUCUGGACAUCUCUUGCUUCCUUCCUAUUUCAGUCAAACUUAUGAUCGUUUAUUGCAGUUCAUCUGAUGAUCGAAUCUUGCCACCCUGCGUUGAUCUCCAUAUUAGAUACAAUUCCUUCCAAGAAUUUUGUUCUCCAUGUAGUUCAAAUGGUCCUAUCUUCCUACUUGCAGAAGUCACAGGACAUUGAAAAUAAAACAUUAUUUUCA